GACGAGCGCUGGCGGCGUGCUUAACACAUGCAAGUCGAACGGAAAGGCCCUGCCUUUGUGGGGUGCUCGAGUGGCGAACGGGUGAGUAACACGUGAGUAACCUGCCCUUGACUUUGGGAUAACUUCAGGAAACUGGGGCUAAUACCGGAUAGGAGCUCCUGCUGCAUGGUGGGGGUUGGAAAGUUUCGGCGGUUGGGGAUGGACUCGCGGCUUAUCAGCUUGUUGGUGGGGUAGUGGCUUACCAAGGCUUUGACGGGUAGCCGGCCUGAGAGGGUGACCGGCCACAUUGGGACUGAGAUACGGCCCAGACUCCUACGGGAGGCAGCAGUGGGGAAUAUUGCACAAUGGGCGGAAGCCUGAUGCAGCAACGCCGCGUGCGGGAUGACGGCCUUCGGGUUGUAAACCGCUUUCGCCUGUGACGAAGCGUGAGUGACGGUAAUGGGUAAAGAAGCACCGGCUAACUACGUG
rnacentral:rRNA from 1 species